CAUGCGUAGAACAGUUCCCACAGCUCUGCUUGUGUACCUGGAGCGUGCUGACUUCAGUUCUUGCCAGAACUUGAGCAGAUUUUUGAUGGGACCAUCCAGACCUGAUGCCAGCCGGAAGAGUGGGAGAAAAAGAAAGGCAGUCUACACUGAGCCCUGUGCUAAUCAUGGCUUUCACACUGUUUAUUGAAUUUUCUACAUUAAGUCUAUCAGUAGUGACUCCAUUGUAGAUACCGAUUUGGCAGCUGGGAUUCGGACCUCAUGCCUUCCCUUCUCAUCUCUGGUUUUUCAUUCUGAACACUUCCUCGUAAGAAACUGAAUGGGAUCCUGAAUGAAGUCACAAACGAGAAGAGAUUCGGGGAGUUUUACUGAAUAUAAGAAUAGGCAGAGUCACUCCUGGAUUUCCAGAGGGGUGCUGAGUGGGUGGCUGCAAUGACCUUUCAUUGCUCUGUUGUUUAGUGGCCGCCUAUCUUAAGUGGGUGUGUGGAUUUCAACUGACUGGAACUCAAGUUUCUAACCUUAGUCUUCAAUAUCUAGGGUUUAAAGGAAACUGGGACUUGUAGAGAAAAAAGUAGUUAUUUUACGUUUUAAUUUUCUCAGAACUCAGACACUUACUAGGAAGUGGCUGCCCCUCCCUUUGGUGGGUAGUGGACCGCACCCCAUAUUGCCUGAGAAAAAGUACUAAUUCACUAUUAUUUGAAUUCUCAUCAGUAUCGCUGGUCACCCAGCUCUGUCUUCAGACCCUUGCCCCUCACUAGCUGCUUUACUCAUAAACUAACCAGAUAAACUAUCAUCUAUUUCCCUGACCUGUCUAUUGAGUUAGGAAGUUAGUUAUGGGACCUCCUUUUACUCUCAAAUUUAGCCUAUUGCAAGGAGAGGGUUGUUCUGUCUUGACCUGGCCUUCAAGAGUUUGGUGCCAACAUAAGGUGGGAGAUUACAGCACUGCAAAACAGCUGAGCCAGAGGGAAUGACCUCAAGCAGGUUUUUGGUAGGAUGGCCUGUGUCUGACGUCAGCCUGAGGAGAAGGAGAUACUAAAGAUGGCAGCCAUUAACUUUGUGGCCACUGUGCCCCUCUUUCAUGGCGGUUCCUUCCCACACCUAGAACGUACUUCUCCUUCUUUAGUUGGCCUGCUCUCACUCUGCAGAGUAUAUUUCUGGUCCUACCUUUAAUAAAUGUAAAACUUGGCUACUUUU